rnacentral:rRNA from 1 species
GACGAACGCUGGCGGCGUGCUUAACACAUGCAAGUCGAACGGAAAGGCCCUGCUUUUGUGGGGUGCUCGAGUGGCGAACGGGUGAGUAACACGUGAGUAACCUGCCCUUGACUUUGGGAUAACUUCAGGAAACUGGGGCUAAUACCGGAUAGGAGCUCCUGCUGCAUGGUGGGGGUUGGAAAGUUUCGGCGGUUGGGGAUGGACUCGCGGCUUAUCAGCUUGUUGGGGGGGUAGUGGCUUACCAAGGCAUUGACGGGUAGCCGGCCUGAGAGGAUGACCGGUCACACCGGAACUGAGACACGGUCCAGACUCAUACGGGAGGCAGCAGUGGGGAAUAUUGGACAAUGGGCGAAAGCCUGAUGGAGCCACGCCGCGUGAGUGACGAAGGGCUUCGGAUCGUAAAACUCUGUUAGUAGGGAAGAAGAGAAGGGUGAGUAAACAUGCAUGUCUUGACGGUACCAAAAGAGAAAGCAACGGCUAACUACGUG